rnacentral:rRNA from 1 species
GUUCAGAACGUCGUGAGACAGUUCGGUGCAUAUCUGCUGUGGGCGUUGGAAACUUGAAUGGAUCUGCUCCUAGUACGAGAGGACCGGAGUGGACGAACCGCUAGUGUACCUGUUGUGGCGCCAGCUGCAUCGCAGGGUAGCUAUGUUCGGAAGGGAUAAGCGCUGAAAGCAUCUAAGCACGAAACCCACCAUGAGAUGAAGUUUCCCCUAUGGGUCGUUCGAGAUGAGGACGUUGAUAGGCGGUAGGUGUACGCACAGUAAUGUGUUCAGCCAAGCCGUACUAAUUACCCAUGAGGCUUAAACCG